rnacentral:tRNA from 1 species
ACAGAUAUAAAUUAAUGGUAAAUUGAUUGCCUUCCAAGCAAUUUAUAUGGGUUCAAUUCCCAUUAUCUGUA